CGGUUAUGUUAUCUAUAGAUUACAGACAUUGUAUAGAAAAGCACUGUAAAAAUCCCUAUCCUGUUUUGUUUCGAUGUAAUUACUGGUGCAUGCAGCCCCCAGUCACGUAUCCCCUGCUUGCUCAAUCAAUCAUGACCCUCUCAGCUGCACCCCCUUAGAGUUGUGAGCCCUUAAAAGGGACAGGAAUUGCUCAUUCAGGGAGCUUGGCUCUUGAGAUAGGAGUCUUGCCAAUGCCCCCGGCCAAAUAAACCCCUUCCUUCUUUAACUCAGUGUCUGAGGAGUUUUGUCUGCCGCUCAUCCUGCUACGUUUCUUGGUUCCCUGACCGGGAAGUGAGGUGAUUAUCGGACAGAAGAGGCAGCUCCUUAGGCGGCUUUAGCCUGCCCUGUGGAACAUCCCUGCGGGGGACUCCAACCAGCCUGAGCGACGCGGAUCCUGAGAGCACUCCUGGGUAGGCUUUUGCUCCGGUGGGACACCUUGCCAGAGCAGUGUGUGGCAGGCCCCCAUGGAGGAUCAAUGCAGUGGCUGGACACCGGGAAGGAAUGGGUGCUUGGAGUCUGGACAUCUAAAACUUGUUAGCUUCAGUAUAGAAGAGGGAGAAUUGCUGUGUUCCUGUGACCCUGGGGAAAAAGGAAUUCCUAGAUUCACCUUCAGGACAAAGAUUGACCCGGUAGAAAAUAAAACUGAGGAAAGAAGAAGAUACGCACAACAGAGGGGAAGACAUUGGCUGAGCCUCACAAACAUUGCAGAUAUCCCUAUGUGACUCAGAAUCAACACAAGAUCCUGCCUUUAAACACUGAUGCCGAAAAUCAAGAACAUCCUUUAAACUGAAACCAUCAGAACAAACAUGUUUAAACAACACAAAUGUUAUUAUUAAUGUAAAGCAUUUCUAAAAUGCUUUUUUAAAUGUGAAAAAGCAACGAAAGUUUUAGUUCUGACACCACCAGACAAAUAGCUAGGAAACAGACACUUCUGUCUUCACAACAGUAAAAAUAAAACAAACUGAAAAUCAGUAAGUUUUGCGGGCCUAUCAGAAAACUAAGAUUGCAGGAAGAGCUGUCACACCCAAAUAUGAAGAAAUAGAAGACUUCAGAGAGACAAAACCAAGUUCUGCUUAUCAGAAGUAGAAGACACUGGAGACAUAUAAACUCAUAAGAACACUUAGAACACUUACAUGGCAAUGUUAACAAAUUGCUGUAAUCUGAGUAUGGACUAUCUUGAGAGUGAUAAUCCCUUAAGAGCUUCAGUAUUAGAGGGGCCUGCCACAUUCACGGCCUUUAUCUACAGUUAUCUCACCAGAUACUCACAGUGAAGAUGCCCUUGUAGCUCUGGCUGGGGCGGAGGAAGAGCAAUCCUUGUGAAUUACCUCCAGAGUAUGCUCUGUAAAACAGGUUUAUUUUUCCAGGAGAAAAGACACUAACAGCGUCUUCUAAUGUCCAUGAGGUGAUGAAUGAUGACCCUUAUUUCAUUUCUCUUUUAUUCUUGGUUAGCCUGGUUAGAUGUUUAUAAAAUUUCUUAAAUUUUUCAAAGAUGUGGCUUUUGGUUUGUUAAUCUUCUGUAUUAUUUUUUAUUUUCAAAUUUAUUGAUACCUACUUCUAUUUUUACCGUUUUUUUCAUCUGCUUCCUUUAAGCUUAAAUUGUUCUCUUUUUCCUGUAGUUUAUUAUGGUGGAACAUUAUAUUAAUGAUUUUAGAAUCUUUCUUCUUCUCUAAGAUAUGCAUCUAAAGUUAUAGAUUUCCUUCCAAGCUCUACUAUAUUUGCAUUGCUCAGCUUUUGAUAAGUUGUAUUAUAUUUUAAAUUAUUUUCAAGUUAUUUUGAAGCUUCUUUUUUUAAUCAUAUGUUGCUUAAAGUAUGUUUUUUAAUCUCCAAAUAUUUGGAUAUUUCCAAAUCUCUUUAUUGAUUUCUAGUUAAAUUUCAUUGUGUUCCAAGAACACAAUUUGUAAGUUUUCUGUUCUUAUAAAUAUGUUAAGAAGUGUUUUUUUUUCUUUUUUUCUUUUUUUUAAGACAGAGUCUCGCUCUGUCACCCAGGCUGCAGUGCAGUGGCGCGAUCUCGACUCACUGCAAGCUCCGCCUCCCAGGUUCACGCCAUUCUCCUGCCUCAGCCUCCCCAGUAGCUGGGACUACAGGCGCCCGCCACCACGCCCGGCUAAUUUUUUGUAUUUUUAGUAGAGAUGGGGUUUCACCGUGUUAGCCAGGAUGGUCUCGAUCUCCUGACCUUGUGAUCUGCCCGCCUUGGCCUCCCAAAGUGCUGGGAUUACAGGCGAGAGCCACCGUGCCUGGCCAAGAAGUGUUUUAAAGCCCUGCAUAUGAUCUCUUUUAGUGAAUGUUUCAUUGGAGAGUAAGAAGAAUAUAUAUUCUUCCUUUUUUAGGUAGAUUAUUCUAUAAAUGUUGAUUAGUCAAGUUGAUUUAUAAGACUGUUCAGGUCUACUAUGAACUACAUGAUCUAUCAAUCAAUGACAAAGAAAUGUUGAGGUUUCUGACUAUGACAGUGGAUUUGUCUAUUUCUCCUUUCAGUCCUCUUGGUUAUUGCAUUUAGAAUUGUUAUGCUUUCAUAAAAAAUUACAUUUAGGAUUGUUAGGCUUUCAUAAAAAAUUGACCCCUUUAUCAUUAAAUCAUACAAAAUUGUAUCCCUUACAAUUUUCCUUGUUCUAAAGUCUGGCUUGUCUAAAUGUAAUAUAACUACUGUAGCUUUCUUUUGAUUAUUAUUGACAUGGUUUAUCUUUCUUUAUCAGUUUACUAUAACCUAUGAAUUUUUAUAUUUAAACUGUCUUUUGUAGUGAAUGUAUACUUAGGUCUUGCUCUUUCAUAUUUGAAUUGAAUAUCUCUGUCUUUUCGUUGUUUGUAUACCAAGCACCUUUAAAGUAAUUAUUAAUGCAAUUGGAUAAAUAUCUACCUUUUUUUUCUUUUACACUUUCACUGGUUUCAAUUGAGUUAUAUUCAUUCCACUUUAUAUGAUCUCUUAAUAUAUCAAUUAUACUAAGUACCUUUAGAAAUGAGUAGACACUAUAAGAGUAAAGGCAAAAAGUAUUAUCAAUAAUCAAUAUACUCUAGUUGAAAAAGUUAUUUUCCAUACACAUAUGUAUUAACAGCUCUGAUAUCACUAGACAUGUGUAAACAAUUAAAUUGACAGAAAGUAGCAGCUGGGCACAGUGGCUCACACCUGUAAUACCAGCACUUUGGGAGGGUGAGGUGGGCAGAUCACGAGGUCAGGAGUUCGAGACCAGCCUGGAAAACAAAGUGAAAUUCCAUCUGUAAUAAAAAUACAAAAAAUUAGCCGGGCAUGGUGGCAGGUGCCUGUAAUCCCAGCUACUUGGGAGCCUGAGGCAGGAAAAUCGAUUGAACCUGGGAGGCAGAGGUUGCAGUAAGCUGAGAUCCCACCAUUGCACUGCAGCCUGGGUGACAGUGUGAGACUCCAUCCCCCACCCACCACACACACACACACACAAAAUGUGUGAGCCUUGUUUUUCACUGUUGAAAUUGAAGAUUAUAGUAAACAAGGAGAGGAGGUCAGAACAAACCAUGUGGUUACAGAGUAGAACUGGAUAUUUCAGUAUGAGCACUUAGCUCAAUAUUGAUGCAAAUAGUUACAUACAGAAAUAUUUACAGAUAAAUGAAGAUACAUGGGUUAACAUAUGCACAUAUAUUCACUGUCUGCUCUUGGUCUGUCAGCUAAGAGGGACUAGAAACAAUGACACCCAGUAGCAAUGAGCACAUGGAGUGUUCAGGUUUUGGUUUCUACUAUAAAUCUGCAUUAUGGGGAUCCUUAGAGGAAUACUGAUUCUAGGACUAUAGCAGUAAAUAUGCAAGACGGACAUGGAGCAUUUUUUUUUUUUUUGGCAAAAAGUUUGAAAGUUCAAACACACAUAAACACACACACAAUAACGGAGAAGUCAAAUAAACCUAAAGUAUAGAAUAAGUAUUAAUGUAUUCAUAUUCACAGAAAUAAAUGAUUAAGUAAAUAAAUGGAGGAGUCCAGUCUUCUAUGAAGAAUUCCAAAUAACUUAGGAAGACAUUCUAUCUUCCAGGAGGUGAAGCAUCACUCCCAACUCUUUGAGUGUGGACUACAUAUAGUGACUUUCUUUUAAAGUAGGAAAACUAGGAAAAAAAUUAACUUUAGAGUGAAAAAAAUUGACAAACACCACCUCUACCAGGUAUUAAGGUCAACAUCAACAGUAAUAACACAUGUUGAUAGUAUGUACCAUCGAUAUGACAUGAUGAAAAUGGAACUAUACCUCUGUGAUCUUUUUCCUAAAACCCAAAACUCCACUCCAAUCAUGAGACAUACAGCAGAAAAAUCUCAACUGAAGAUUCAAAUGAUGAUGAACUUCUGGUUCAUCAAGUCACAUUUCAUUUUUAUCUAUCAAGUACUUUUUUCUCCAAUAGUUUUUUCUUACAUAACAGUAGCAGAGAUGCUCAACCAGUGAUUAUAUUUAACCUCUUCAAAAUGACCUUCUCUGAAUGAUUAGAAGCCAUGCAAUACUUUUUUUUUUUUUGAGAUGGAGUCUGGCGCCAUCUCGGCUCACUGCAAGCUCCACCUCCCAGGUUCACGCCAUUCUCCUGCCUCAGCCUCCCGAGCAGCUGGGACUGCAGGCACCCACCACCACGCCCAGCUAAUUUUUUGUAUUUUCAGUUGAGACGGGGUUAACCGUGUUAGCCAGGCUAGUCUCCAUUUCCUGACCUCGUGAUCCGCCUGCCUCGGCCUCCCAAAGUGCUGGGAUUACAGGCAUGAGCCACCGUGCCCGGCUGCAUGCAAUACUUUUAAAUUAUCCUGUAGAUGUCCAGAGCCUGAAAAAUUGCCUUAGAAAACUGCAAACCUUUUGGAAUACUCUAGCAGAUUCAGGGAGAGAAGUCUCUCAUCAGCUCCUAAUAUAGGACAAUGGCCAUUGAUGGGGUUCAGGACAUCCCCAAAAUAUGGUUCCUUAGCAUUUGAGACAAUAGCAGAAGCAGGAAGGUCAGUCUCACCUCCCUCUUGCUCUUUUCUCUUGAAACAGGCCAUGGAACUAAGCUGACCUUCCCUUAAAGUAGAUCAUAAGACCCUCAUUCUAUACCUGGAAGAAAGGAAUGUCCUUAACUCUGAAAACACAGGAAACAGAGAAAAAUCUGAACAAAUAGGCCACGCUAAGUUCCCCCACCCCAGUUUUUCUCCAUCAGAUCAUAUCCCCUUUGUCCAAUCAUACUUCUGCAUAAGUCUCCACUCUCCUUAAAACCUAAGCAUAAAAAUAUGUUGUCAUAUAAAACAUAUUAAAUAAAUUUGCAUGCUGUAUUUAAAAAGAAAAAUCUCAAUAUUUGGCAGAAUCUCACAUUCUGCCAAAUUUCUGAGAAUUCCUCCUCAAAAUUAUGACAGUCUUCAAAAAAGGAAAGUCUAUGAAAUUGUCAACAGCCAAAGGAGCCCUAAGAAGACAUGACAACUAAGUAAAAUAUGGUGUCCUGAAUGGGAUCCUAACACAGAAAAAGGACUAGGGUAAGAUGUUAAUAAUUUGUGAAACUAGGUAUGGCAUUUAUUCCCUCUACUAUCUUUGAAAUUUUUCUAUAAAACUAAAACACUUCCAGAAAUAAAAGUUCAAUUAAAUAUAGGUUGUGAAACAUGUAUUAGCGUAGAAAGACAAUAAUGUCAUGUAGUGGCAAGUUCACAGGAGGAGAAGUCAGGAGACUUGUGGAAUCAUCUCUAUGAUGCAGCAAUUUCUCUGUGAAACCUUGAAUAUAUCACUUAUCUUCUCCGGGCUUUUCAUUUUUUACAUGUAAAAAUACAAGUUUUGUAGUAAAAAGCCUUUUCUUUUUUGGAAUUUGUUUCUAAUCUAACAAUUCAGUUCAAUAAAUCCUUAUUCAACUUGCUUUGAUAUUUUCAAGAGGAUUUGUGCCAGAAGGAAAAUUCCAUUACCUUUGUUUCAUAAAUGGAGUCAUUCUUCCUUCUGUGCCCAAUGUAUGAAUAAUACACAAUGACAGGGCAAUUUCACCCCAAUUUCACUGUUUCUGAAGGUAUUUAUAGGAAUCUAAAAUAUAAAGCUUGUUACCAACUGGAGAUAUUUCAAAAUAAUUUAUAUUUCUUUACUACUGUUAAUACCUUUUUUGUUGGUGUUAUUCUAGGGUUGCAGUGAUGAGACACCUUGUCAGUUCGUGGAGCCUUAAAUUAGAUUGAAAAGCAGCAAUACAAAUAUAGUUUUAUUAUAUUUCCAAAUUAAGUGACGUUUAACAUACAAGUUUAUAUACGCAUGUCCCAUUUUUAUGUUUACAACAAAGUAAGCAUUGUUUUAUAAAGAAGGAAAUGAAAGAACAGAGUGGUUUUAUAACCUGCUAAGACUCAACACACAGCAAGUAAGAUGUAGAGUUGAAAUCAGGCCUCAGGCUUCUUACACAAAGCAGAGAGUUCAUUCUAAUUGGACCACAAAAUCCCACUAAGCACAGCACCUAGCACAUGGUUGAAUAAUAAAUAUGCUUCAUUUGUACAUUUGUAGCAUACAUACUUGAUUUCAGUUCUCCUUUCACACACACACACACACACACACACACACACACACACACACACACAAAACAGAUAAUUGACAGAAUCAUUGCGUUUUAUUUAGAUCACCAGAGGUGCCAAGACAGCCAGGUGAAUUGAAUUCCAAAAUGUGACAAGCUUUUUUGAAGAAACCAGAAAGGCAAAUUGAUUUUGCCUUUUGUGGAACAUGAGAAAAGAAUGUGAUGGCUAUAAAAGGAUCAAAAAGAAAAGAAAACUGGAAUUUUCACAAAUUCUAGCAAUUGUUUGCUAAUUUAGAAUUCCUAGAGCCUGAGACACAUCUCUUUUUCCUGGAUUUCAAUAAAAUUCUCACUAGAAAGAUUGGUGGUGGAGCCAGGGACCUCAGAAAUCUCCUUUCAGGGUGCACAGGUACAAACACUGACAAUUUAUGUGGUCCUUCUCUCAUACGGCAGAAGUUUCCUCAACCUGAUAAAGAACAUUUCGAAAAAUCCUAUAUCUUCUAUCAUACUGAAUGAAGAAAGACUGAAUGCUCCUUCCAUGAUUAGAGAUGAGGCAAGGAUAUCCAACUCAAGCUUUCUGUUCAACACCAAACUGAGCCCCAGAAAUGAAAAGAAAUACAAUACACGCAGAUUGAAAAGAAAGGAGUAAAACUGUCUUCAUUUGCAGAUGGUACAACCAUCUACACAAAACCCACAAAACAUUUUCAAAGAUGUAGUAGAACAAAUGGGCACUUUUACCAAGGAUGUGGAAUACCAUUUUGUUCCUUUAUACUAAUAUUCAAUAGUUAGAAGUGGAAAUUAAGGAAAAAAAAAUUACCUUUUAUCUGGGCGCAAGUAAAGGCUUUCUAAGAUUCAAAAUUUAGAUUCACUAAAAUAAUAUAUUGAUACAUUUGACAUAAUAGCAACUUAAAAAAUAAAACUUUUGCUGGAAAAACAAGGUUGUAAAACAUAAGAUAAUUGACAGGGAGAAAAUAUUCUAACAUAUAUUACAUAUAUUUAAUAACACAUAAAUUGAGGGAAAUGAUAGAAAUAAAAGAAAAAUGGGCAAACUUACAUGAACAGACAUCAGGACAGAGGUAUAAUAUGGAUUUUAAUACUUCACAGUUCAAUCUUCUUGGUCAUUGUUCAAAUGUAAAUAAAAUUACACUAAACUACCAUUUCUCAAUUAUUAGACUGACAAAACUUUAAAGUAUUACACUAAUAUCUGUUUUUGAUGCUGUGGUGAAAGGAACAUCCUCACACAUUGCUAAUAAAAAUGCAAAUUCCACCAUGGUUAUAUAGGAACAUUGAUAAUCUUACAUAAUGUGUCUACUUUGUAAAAGAAUAUUUUUUAUUUUACAAUAGUUUUAGAAUGAUGGAAAAAUUGUGAGGAUAGUACUGUCUUCAUAUACUCAAAUGCAGUUUUCAAAUUUUUAACAUCUCACAUUAAUAUGGUACAUUUGUCACAAAUAAUGAACCAAUGUUGAUAUAUCGUGAAGUAAAGUCAAGGCUUCACUAAAAUUUCCAUAAUUUUAAACUGAUUUUUUUUUCCUGUUCCAAGAUUCCAUUUAGGAUAUCACAUUACAUUUAGUUAGCAUGUCUUUUUAGGAUGUGCUUGGCUCUGACAAUUUCACAUACUUUCCUUGUUUUUGAUGAUCUUGGAAAUGUUUAGGAUAUUAAGUAAUUUGCAGAAUGUCCCUCAGUUGAGAUUUUUCUGCUGUAUGUCUCAUUAUUAGAAUGAUGUUAUGCGUUUUGAGAUCACAGGGACAAAGUGUCAUUCUUAUCACAUAACGUCAAGGAUAUAUACUAACAAAAUGAUUUAUGAUAUUUGAUAUUAAUCUGGAUCACCUGCCUGAAGUAGUAUUAUUCAGAUUUCCCUGCUGUGAAGUUACUCUUUUCUCCUCUCCUUAGUGCACACUUUGGAAGGAACCACUAUGUGCAACACACACAUAUUGAGUAGUGAGUUAAUGCUCCAACUCCAGAAGAGCAGAGUAUCUUUCUAAACUAUUAGAAUAUUUUUCAGUCAUUUAUUUAUGUCAGCAUAGACUUAAUGCAAAUCUAUUUUUUUGGGGGGGUAAUAAUCCAACGCUACUUUCUUUCUUUGCUUAAGAAUUUCCACCUAUGGCCUUUGGGAACUCUCUCAGUUGGCUUCUGCUUUCCUUUGAAUACCCCACCAUUGUUUCUGUUUUCUUCUUAGUACUUCUUUAUGUUGGCAUCACAAUAUGUUCCAUAAUUAUUUUGUAUAUUCCCUAUCUCAGUCCUAGAAUUAGCCAUUCCUCCAACGGGCACUGGUUCCUUUUAUUGGAGAAUAGUAUUAGAAAACGAAGAUCUGGGUCAGGUCUGGUGGCUCACGCCUGUAAUCCCAGCUCUUUGGGAGGCUGAGGAGGACGGAUUGCCUGAGGUCAGGGGUUCGAGACCAUCCUGGCUAAGAUGGUGAAAUCCUGCCUCUACUAAAAAUACAAAAAUUAGCCGGGCAUGCUGGCGUGCGCCUGUAGUCUCAACUACUCAGGAGGCUGAGGCAGGAGAAUCGCUUGGGCCCAGGAGGUGGAGGUUGGAGUGAGCUGAGAUCACAUCACUGCACUCCAGCCUAGAUGACAGAGCAAGGAAAGAAAAAAAAGAAAAGGAAAAGAAAAGAAAAGGAAAGGAAAGAAAAGAAAAGAAAAAGAAAAAGAAAAGAAAAAAAGAAACCAAGAUCUGGGCACUGUGUGUGCUCAUUCAUUCUAGGGUGUCAUUGUUUCUAGGUGUCCUCAGCUGACAGAACAAGGCAAUGUAUGUGUGUAUACUCAAUCCACUUAUAUUCACAUAUCUAUAUUUUAUGUAAUUAUCUGUAUUGGUGCUGACUUAAACAUAAGUUCAUACUGAUGCCUCCAAUUCUAAUUCAUUAUUACAUGGCUUAUUCUAGCCUCCUCCCAUGCUUAGUUGUAAUACUCUCACUCCAAAAAUGCAAAAUCUGGCUCUUAAUAUCCACAGUUAUCUUAUUUAACUGUUGAGUUUCUGUAUACAUGUAUAGUGGUUACAGAUUGUUAACAUAGACCCCAAUGAGGAACAAUCUUAUCAACUAGACUACAGUACUGAUAUGUAGUUUCCUUUGUCUUUAGUUUUACAGACACCACUAACUUCCAAAAUUACUUCUCAGCAUCUUUCCCCACCUCCAUCCAGUUCAGUUAAGUUUUUUUAUGGAUUUGUUAUUCAUUUAAUUUUUUUUGUCUCAUUUUAUAUCCCAUCAUGUGAUUCUUUAAUAGCCUACUUUUUAAAAAUUGGCAUUCAUUUCACUCCACACUUUGUUUAGGAAAGUUCUAUGAGUUUUUUAAAUGUGCAAUGUUUUGUAUCCACCAUUACAGUAUCAACAUUCACCACCCUAAAAAAAAAAAAAAAAAUCCACUGUGCUUCCCCUAUUCAGCACUUCCUCCUCACAAUGUCAUAGCAACAACUGAUAUGUUUACUGCCUCUGUGUUUUUGCCUGUUGCAGAAUGUCAUGUAAAUGGAACAAUACAGUAUGUAGCCCUUUCAGACAUGCUUUUUCCAACUUAGCUACCUGAAUUUACAGUUCGUCUAUUUAAGUGUGUCUUGAUAGCUCAUUUCUUUAUUCACUGAAGAUCAUGAUAUUGAAUAGACCUACCAGAUAUUGUUUAUUCAUUCAAUUAUGGAUAAAGAUGGUGUACACUUUGGAUUGCACAUUUUUGUGCAAACAUGUUUUCACACUUGGGCAAAUACUCAGGAGGGUGAUUGCUGAAUCAUUUGGUAAGACUGUCUAGCUUUGCAGGAAGCUAACAAACCAUUUCUCAAAGUGGGAGUUCUCACCAGCAAUCAAUGAGAGAUCUUCCUAUCUCACAUUCUUGCUAGCAGUUGGCAUACUCAGAUUUUUAAAAAAUUUUAACCACUCUAAUAAGUGUAUGAUGGCAUCUCAUUAUUGUUUUAAUUUUCAUUUCCAUAUUGGCAAAUUCCAGUUUUUCAUAUUUUCAAAUGCUUAUUUAACAUUUGUUUAUCUUUUUUGGUUAGGUGCCUAUUCAAAUCUUCUGCUAAUUUUUUAAAUUAGAUUAUUUUCUUAGUUUAAUGUUGUGUACCUUUUGUAUUUUGGUUGCAAAUACUUUAUCAGAUAUGUGUUUUAUAAACAUUUUCUCCCUUUUGAACCUUGUUUUUUCCUUCUCUUAAUAGUGUUUUUUACGUGGUAGAAGUUUUUAAUCAUAAUAAAUCCUUUGUUAAUUAUUUAUUUCAUGAAUAGUGCUAUUGAAAUUGUGUCACUAACACAAUAUCAUAUGAUUGUUCUCAUGUUUUAUUUAAGGCAUUUUAUAGUUUGACAUUUUACAUUUAGGUGUAUGUUCCACUUUCGGUUAGUUUUAUUAAAAGCAUAAGUUCUGUAGUUUGGUUCAUUUUUUUCUUUAUGGAACAUUAAUUGUUCCAGAAUCCUUUGUUAAAAAAUCAUUUUUCCCAUUACACUAUCUUUAUUCUUUUUCAUAGAUCAGUUGACUAUAUUUCUGUGGUUCUAUGUCUGAGCUCUCUAUUCUGUUUCAUUGGCCUAUGCAUUUAUUCUUUCACCAAUACUCUGUAGUCUUGAUUUCUAUAGCCUUUUAGUAAGUCUAGAUAUUGGAUAGUAUGAGCUCUCCAGCUUUGUUUUUAUUCUUCAGUAUUGUAUUUUCUAUUCUAGGUCUUUUGUUUUCCACAUAAAUUUUAAAAUCAAUUUGUUAAUAUCUAUAAUGUAGCUGAAUUUUUACUGUAAUUGUGUUGAAUCUAUAGAUCAACUUUGGAAGAAUUAACAUCUUAAAUACAUUGAUUCUUAGAAUCCAUGAACGUGUAACAUGUCUUAGUUAUGUAGACCUUUGGAUUUUUCAUCAGUGUUUUGGGUUUCUCUCACAUAAAGAUCCUGUACUUAUUUGUUUGAUUUAUAUAUCAAUAUUUAAUUCCAUUUUUGAUCCUAGAGUAAAUGGUAUUUUGUAAAGCCCAACUGUAAAUUUCUGGCAUAUGGGAAAGCAAUCAACUUUUGCAUAUUGACCAUGUAUCAUUUGACUUUGCUGUAUGUAGUUGUUUAUUAGUCCCAGAAGACAUUUCUUGUCAACUCUGGUAUUUUACACAUAACCAAUAUGUCAUUUGGACAUAAAAACACUUUAAGUUCUUAACUCCUUGGUAUUUUAUAUAUAACCAAUAUGUCAUUUGGACAUAAAAACACUUAAAGUUCCUCCUUCCCAAUAUUGUGACCUUUCUUUCUUUGUCUGUGUGUGUUUCUACUACCUAGGAGUUUGAACACAUUAUUGUGUUGAAAUAGUUAAAGAAAACAUGAUUGUCUUUUCAUCAAUUAUAGUGGGAAAGUUCCUCAUCUCUCAAUACUAAGUAUGAUGGUAGACAUACAUUUUUAAUACACUAUUUACCCUUUAUUUGGUUCCCUCCUAGACCUAGUUUUUUGAGAGUUUUUUUUUCUUUUUCAUAAGUCGGUCUUUCAGUUUUUAAAAUGCUACUUCUACAUCUGUUGAUAUGUGGUUUUUCACAUUCGAUCUCUUAAUAGGAUGUAUUACACUGAUUGACUUAAGAAUAUUGAACUAGUCUUUCAUUCCUAAAAUCAACAGCAUUUCAUCAUUACACAUUAUCCUUCUUACACAUUAUUUUAUUUUCUAGUAUUUUGUAAGGAGUAUUUUCUCUCUUUUCACAAGGAAUAUUGGUCUGUAUCUUAUAAUGUCUUUAUCUGGUUUUGGUAUUAGGGUAAUGAAUGAGUUAGGGAUUAACCACUCACCUUUUAUUUUCUUGAAGAGAUUGUGAUGGUGAAGCUAUCUGUGACUGUAGUUUUUUUUUUUUUUUGCCAGAUGAUUAGUUUUUCUUUCAAUUUUAAAAAUAGAUAUAGGACUAUUCAGGUUAUCUAUAUUUCUCUGUGUAAAUUCCAGUGCUUUAUGUCUUUAAAGAAUUUGGUAUUUUUUAUUCUAAGUUACAAAACUUGUUGCUUUAAAGUUGUUAAUAUUAUUUAUUUUUCUGUUACUGUUCAUGAAAUCAUAUAAAUGCCUUCUCCUUCAUUUGUGUUAUUGAUAUUUUGAGUCUUCUCUCUUUAUUUCUUAAUUAAUCUAACUAGAGUAUUAUUAAUUUUAUUAAUUUGUUCAAGAACCACUUUUGCUUUUGAUGGUUUUGUCCAUUAUUUCCUAUUUUCAACUUCAUUAAUUUCUGCCAUAAAUUGUAUUAUUUUUCUUUUGUUUGCUUUAGGCUUAUAUACAUUUUCUUUUUCUAGUUUCCUAAGGUAUAAAAUAAGGCUAUUGAUUUUAGAAUUUUUUUCCCAAUUUAUGCAUUUAAUUCUACAUAUUUCCUUCUAAUUACUACUUUUACUACAUUUUUACAUUAUGAUGAGUUGUAUUUUAAUUGUUAGUUACAAGUGUGUUGUUUAAUUUCAAACUAAUUGAAGAUUUUUAUACUAUGUUUAUAUUACCGAUUUUACUUUAAUUCCACUUUUUCUCUGAGAACAUAUUUGUAUCACUUUUAUUUUUUAAAGUGUCUUAAGGUGUGUUUCUUGAUGCAGAAUGUGUUUUAUCUAGGUGAAAGUUCCUGGCAAGCUAGAGAAAACUGUGUAUUCUGCUUUUAUUGAAUGAACUAUUCUGUACAUAUCAAUUAAAUCAAAUGGAUAAGUAAUGUUCA
rnacentral:lncRNA from 1 species